CUAGGAUCCGUUUAUUUAAAAUUUCUUUAGGUGUAUUUGCUUGCAUAUGGAGUGCACAUUUACUCUCAUUAAUGGAGUUUUAGGAAGCAGUAGAGUAAAUGCAUAAACAUGUAUGAACCGCCAUGUUUAACUGGAAGCCUGCAUUUGGAAGUCAAGUAUCUAAUCUUAGAUUAAAUUAGGAUGGGGAAGGAUGUUGGCAAGAGAUUUUGAAGCUUGUUCUGCUUAUAUUGAGAACAUCAUAGAACAGUUUGGCCUUUUUAAAGCUAGAGAAUAGUGUUGAAUAAGUGAUGUUCCAUAUAUUCCUGUUUGACAUUGACAUAAAGGUUUCCUCAUGAUACAGUAAUCCCUGAUCAGGGAUCUGGAAGCCUGUAUUCAUUUAAGGUACUCAGGUUUAACAUACUGGGUGCUUUUCACACCAUACUAUACAGUACCAUGCAAAGUGCUUUCAAGACUGCAAAUUUGGCUUAGAUCCCCUUUAGUGAGCUCCUAUGCUAUAGUAAAGGUAGAUAGCCAAUUAUUAAAAACAGUCAAGACAAUUGCACCUCUAAGCAGUAGUAGCAGUUGCCACACCACCUUGAAUCUUGAAGUAUUUUCAGCAACAGGAUGACCAUUAGCCACAAAUUUAGUGUCAGCCCUUAAGGUCGGUAUUGGUUUGACCCAUAUUUUCAUGUAGUUCUUUUUCUUCACUUGUCUAAUCUUCCCGUGUACUGCCAGGGCUUGUCAUUAGAGGACUUUAGGGAGACCAAGCAGGCUAGAAAGUAGAGACAGGAGAUACCUAUGUCUAAUGCUUCAGUUUAUACUUCCUAGGUUUUUUUCAUUGGGGUUUUUGUAACUCUUUUGGUAUCCUACCGGUGCUUUGGUAGCCUACUGAACCCUGUCUUUCUUCUUAAGGACAUUCUGAGCAUGUGAGACCUGAGGACUGCAAACAGCUAUAAGAGGCUCCAAAUUAAUCAUAUCUUUCCCUUUGAGAAUCUGGCCAAGCUCCAGCUAAUCUACUUGGAUGGGUUGCCAGCUAUCUGGAGAAAAAGAUCUUCCUCAGAAGAAUAGGCUUGUUGUUUUACAGUGUUAGUGAUCCAUUCCCUUUGACGAUCCCUAGGUGGAGAUGGGGCAUGAGGAUCCUCCAGGGGAAAAGCUCACUACCACUGGGCAACAACCCUAGGUCAGGAGGUUCUGUCAAGAUACUUUCCUGGUCCCAGAUAGGAAGAUAAAGUCUCAAAAACAACCACCACACGUCAAGCUCUUCAUUGUUCCUAUCUGCCAAAUCAUUAUACUUCCUACAAGCAGUGCAGAGAGCUGAGUCUUCAGCAGGUCCAAGAAAUUUGAACACACUGAAGGAAGUCAGCCUUCCCACCUGAAGAUCAACAUGCCUGGCACUCUAGCACUUGAGGAUAGCUGAAUGAAUGUGUAUUUCUUUGUCUCUUUCUUUCUUGUCUUUGCUCUUUGUUCUCUAUCUAAAGUGUGUCUUACCCAUUUCCAUGUUUCUCUUGCUAAUUUCUUUCGUGUGUGCCUUUGCCUCAUUUUCUCUUUUUGUUCACAAGAGUGGUCUGUGUCUUGUCUUAGACAUAUCUCUCAUUUUUCAUUUUGUUGCUAUUUCUCUUUGCUCUCCUAGAUGUGGCUCUUCUUUCACGCUUUAUUUCAUGUCUCCUUUUUGGGUCACAUGCUGUGUGCUUUUUGUCCUUUUCUUGUUCUGUCUACCUCUCCUUUCUCUGCCUACCUCUCUUUUCUCUUUGUGAACUGUGAUUAUUUGUUACCCCUUCCCCUUCUCGUUCGUUUUAAAUUUCACCUUUUUUCUGAGUCUGGCCUCCUUUCUGCUGUUUCUACUUUUUAUCUCACAUUUCUCAUUUCUGCAUUUCCUUUCUGCCUCUCUUGGGCUAUUCUCUCUCUCCUCCCCUGCGUGCCUCAGCAUCUCUUGCUGUUUGUGAUUUUCUAUUUCAGUAUUAAUCUCUGUUGGCUUGUAUUUGUUCUCUGCUUCUUCCCUUUCUACUCACCUUUGAGUAUUUCAGCCUCUUCAUGAAUCUAUCUCCCUCUCUUUGAUUUCAUGUAAUCUCUCCUUAAAUAUUUCUUUGCAUAUGUGGGCAAGUGUACGUGUGUGUGUGUCAUGUGUGGCAGAGGGGCUUCCUAACCCCUGCCUGAUAGGUGCAGAACGUCGGCUAUCAGAGCAAGCAUUGUGGAGCGGUUCCUUAUGCCAGGCUGCCAUGUGAGAUGAUCCAAGACCAAAACAAGGCCCUAGACUGCAGUAAAACCCAGAACUCAAGUAGGGCAGAAGGUGGAAGGCUCAUAUGGAUAGAAGGCCCAAAGUAUAAGACAGAUGGUUUGAGACUUGAGACCCGAGGACUAAGAUGGAAAGCCCAUGUUCCAAGAUAGAUAGAAGCCUCAGGCCUGAAACCAACAAAAGCCUCAAGAGCCAAGAAAACAGAGGGUGGCCUGAAUUGGACCGAAGGCCUGAGUUGGAUGGAAGUCUCAAGGCUUGAGUUAGAAGUCUUAAGACCUGGGACAGGACACAUGGAAGGCCUAAGAACUGAGACUUGUGACACAAGGCCAACGACCUAAGAUUAGCCCAGGGUUGUAGCUGGAAGACCUACAACCCAAGGAUGGAAGGCCCCUGUCACAAAGCCUACCUAGAUGGAUAGAGGACCCAAGCGAAAAAGGUAUCUCAAGACUAACGGCCGGAAUCUGGAGGCCCAUGACCCAGAACCCAGGAAGGAUAGAAGCUUGAAGACCUGGGGAAAUCCCAAGAUGAGAACCCUAAACCCUACCUCUUUUCUAUUGUUUACACUUCUUACUCUUAGAUAUUUCCAGUUCUCCUGUUUAUCUUUAAGCCUGAUUCUUUUGAGAUGUACUUUUUGAUGUUGCCGGUUACCUUUAGAUUGACAGUAUUAUGCCUGGGCCAGUCUUGAGCCAGCUUUAAAUCACAGCUUUUACCUAUUUGUUAGGCUAUAGUGUUUUGUAAACUUCUGUUUCUAUUCACAUCUUCUCCACUUGAGAGAGACACCAAAAUCCAGUCAGUAUCUAAUCUGGCUUUUGUUAACUUCCCUCAGGAGCAGACAUUCAUAUAGGUGAUACUGUAUUUCAGUCCUUUCUUUUGACCCCAGAAGCCCUAGACUGAGAAGAUAAAAUGGUCAGGUUGUUGGGGAAAAAAAAGUGCCAGGCUCUCUAGAGAAAAAUGUGAAGAGAUGCUCCAGGCCAAUGAGAAGAAUUAGACAAGAAAUACACAGAUGUGCCAGACUUCUGAGAAGCACCUGCCAGCAACAGCUUCCUUCUUUGAGCUUAGUCCAUCCCUCAUGAAAAAUGACUGACCACUGCUGGGCAGCAGGAGGGAUGAUGACCAACUAAUUCCCAAACCCCAGUCUCAUUGGUACCAGCCUUGGGGAACCACCUACACUUGAGCCACAAUUGGUUUUGAAGUGCAUUUACAAGGUUUGUCUAUUUUCAGUUCUUUACUUUUUACAUGCUGACACAUACAUACACUGCCUAAAUAGAUCUCUUUCAGAAACAAUCCUCAGAUAACGCAUAGCAAAAUGGAGAUGGAGACAUGAUUUCUCAUGCAACAGCUUCUCUAAUUAUACCUUAGAAAUGUUCUCCUUUUUAUCAUCAAAUCUGCUCAAGAAGGGCUUUUUAUAGUAGAAUAAUAUCAGUGGAUGAAAACAGCUUAACAUUUUACCAUGCUUAAGUUUUAAGAAUAAAAUAAAAAUUGGAAAUAAUUGGCCAAAAUUGAAAGGAAAAAUUUUUUUAAAAUUUCUCUAAAUGUAGGCCUGGCUGGGCUUUGACCUUUUCCGUUUUUAAAUCACUCACAGAGGGUGGGACAGGAGGAAGAGUGAAGGAAAAGGUCAAACCUGUUUUAAGGGCAACCUGCCUUUGUUCUGAAUUGGUCUUAAGAACAUUACCAGCUCCAGGUUUAAAUUGUUCAGUUUCAUGCAGUUCCAAUAGCUGAUCAUUGUUGAGAUGAGGACAAAAUCCUUUGUCCUCACUAGUUUGCUUUACAUUUUUGAAAAGUAUUAUUUUUGUCCAAGUGCUUAUCAACUAAACCUUGUGUUAGGUAAGAAUGGAAUUUAUUAAGUGAAUCAGUGUGACCCUUCUUGUCAUAAGAUUAUCUUAAAGCUGAAGCCAAAAUAUGCUUCAAAAGAAGAGGACUUUAUUGUUCAUUGUAGUUCAUACAUUCAAAGCAUCUGAACUGUAGUUUCUAUAGCAAGCCAAUUACAUCCAUAAGUGGAGAAGGAAAUAGAUAAAUGUCAAAGUAUGAUUGGUGGAGGGAGCAAGGUUGAAGAUAAUCUGGGGUUGAAAUUUUCUAGUUUUCAUUCUGUACAUUUUUAGUUAGACAUCAGAUUUGAAAUAUUAAUGUUUACCUUUCAAUGUGUGGUAUCAGCUGGACUCAGUAACACCCCUUUCUUCAGCUGGGGAUGGGGAAUGGAUUAUUGGAAAAUGGAAAGAAGAAAGUAACUAAAAGCCUUCCUUUCACAGUUUCUGGCAUCACUACCACUACUGAUUAAACAAGAAUAAGAGAACAUUUUAUCAUCAUCUGCUUUAUUCACAUAAAUGAAGUUGUGAUGAAUAAAUCUGCUUUUAUGCAGACACAAGGAAUUAAGUGGCUUCGUCAUUGUCCUUCUACCUCAAAGAUAAUUUAUUCCAAAAGCUAAGAUAAAUGGAAGACUCUUGAACUUGUGAACUGAUGUGAAAUGCAGAAUCUCUUUUGAGUCUUUGCUGUUUGGAAGAUUGAAAAAUAUUGUUCAGCAUGGGUGACCACCAGAAAGUAAUCUUAAGCCAUCUAGAUGUCACAAUUGAAACAAACUGGGGAGUUGGUUGCUAUUGUAAAAUAAAAUAUACUGUU
rnacentral:lncRNA from 1 species